rnacentral:rRNA from 1 species
GACGAACGCUGGCGGCGUGCUUAACACAUGCAAGUCGAACGGUAAGGCCCUUCGGGGUACACGAGUGGCGAACGGGUGAGUAACACGUGGGUGAUCUGCCCUGCACUUCGGGAUAAGCCUGGGAAACUGGGUCUAAUACCGGAUACGACCACUGCCUGCAUGGGUGGUGGUGGAAAGCUUUUGCGGUGUGGGAUGGGCCCGCGGCCUAUCAGCUUGUUGGUGGGGUGAUGGCCUACCAAGGCGACGACGGGUAGCCGGCCUGAGAGGGUGACCGGCCACACUGGGACUGAGAGACUGCCCAGACUCCUACGGGAGGCAGCAGUGGGGGAUAUUGCACAAUGGGCGCAAGCCUGAUGCAGCGACGCCGCGUGAGGGAUGACGGCCUUCGGGUUGUAAACCUCUUUCAGCACCGACGAAGCGCAAGUGACGGUAGGUGCAGAAGAAGGACCGGCCAACUACGUGCCAGCAGCCGCAGUAA